rnacentral:rRNA from 1 species
AUGGUCAAGGACAUGGACUAUCCAGAAAUGGCAAAGAUGGAUUUCUGCGAGGUAAUCGUCGAAUGUAUUAGGGAAGGAGCCAAGACAUGGCAGAAGCACAGGAUGUUGCCUCAGGAGGAAAAGAACAAAAAGCACAUCAAUGGUUUGGCACAGGUACCAGUAAUCAUGUACCUUGACUCCCUGCUGCUGCCAACCGACACAAAAGAAAUGCGGAAGAUUGCAACGACAAUGGACAAAAUCUCAUUACCACGAGCAAAACAUCUCAAAGAGAGUGACCUAGAGAAAAUAGCUAGAGCAGACAUGAAAACGGACGGAAAAGCACGACCAGAUGACUAUGAAUUUGGCAAGAUACAGGAGAACAUCGUAAAGAACAGCAACACCAGCACACAACCAAGCUGCUACCACCUCCACCCAAGCGCCAAUGCGAACCACGUAUCGUUUGCACAAGGUACCUCACACACAACGCGACCCUGCAGACGCUAG